ACGUUCACAUCGCGUUGAAAUGCCGGUUCCUGUACGAUCACCGAAGUUAAGCAAACUUUACAUUGGUCAGUACCGAGAUGGGUGACCGUUUGGGAAUAUCAAGUGUUAUA